GUGGGCUUUGAUGCAGAUAUGAACUGAGAACAGCUAGAGAUGACCCACUUUUUCUAAUGGCAGCAAGGGCAUUCACCCUGACGGGUUACUGGAAGAAGAGCAUGAGAUAGAAGUGCGAAUCUGUGGCAUGCAAUGGGGUAAUGCGUUUUGAUAUUUACAAAGAUUGCCUUCACUUCCCAAAUCAUCAUAGUGUACUUUGAGGUUAUGUCCAGUGGAUGGUCUGUCUAUGCUGAUUAGAAAGUCCCAAAUGCCCA